rnacentral:RNase_P_RNA from 1 species
CUGCGGGAGGUCAUAAGACCCCUGAGGAAAGUCCGGGCUUCACAGGGCAGGAUAGCGGCUAACGGCCGCCGAGGGUGACCUUAGGGAAAGUGCAACAGAGAUAUACCGCCGUGAUUUUUCACGGUAAGGGUGGAAAGGCGAGGUAAGAGCUCACCGACUGACGGGAGACCGUACAGUCCUGUAAACCCUAUCCGAAGCAACAUCAAAUACGGCUAUACGCGCCCUGCGUGCCGUGAAAGAUGGCGUGAGCGUCACGGUAACGUGCCGUCAAGAAAGAUAGUCGUCCAAUACAGAACCCGGCUUACAGAUCCGGUCGCAAA